CUGACCGACUCGAAAGGGGAGGCGAGCGUGUGGCAGAAGUCAGCAGAGGGCAUAGUAUUCGGUGGAAACGAGCCGGGCCUCCCUCAAUGAGGGAGAAGUAUACCCGGAGGACUCACCCCGAUGAAGGCC
rfam:Desulfotignum phosphitoxidans DSM 13687 Dpo_1c, whole genome shotgun sequence.